rnacentral:tRNA from 1 species
CCUGAUGGCUUAAACAAUAAAGAAUCUGCCUGCAAUGCAGGAGACCUGGGUUCAAACCCUGGGUCAGGA